AGAAUCAACGCUGGCGGCGUGCCUCAGACAUGCAAGUCGAACGCGAAAGUGCCCUUCGGGGGACAAGUAGAGUGGCGCACGGGUGAGUAACACGUAGGUAAUCUACCUUCGGAUGGGGAAUAACAACCGGAAACGGUUGCUAAUACCGCAUAAUGCAGCGGCACCUAAUGGUGACAGUUGUUAAAGCGGGGGAUCGAAAGCCUCGCGUCUGAAGAGGAGCCUGCGGCGGAUUAGCUAGUUGGUAGGGUAACGGCCUACCAAGGCGACGAUCCGUA
rnacentral:rRNA from 1 species